CAGUCGCCACGGUAAUACGUAGGUGGCAAGCGUUGUCCGGAAUUAUUGGGCGUAAAGGGCUCGCAGGCGGUUUCUUAAGUCUGAUGUGAAAGCCCCCGGCUCAACCGGGGAGGGUCAUUGGAAACUGGGAAACUUGAGUGCAGAAGAGGAGAGUGGAAUUCCACGUGUAGCGGUGAAAUGCGUAGAGAUGUGGAGGAACACCAGUGGCGAAGGCGACUCUCUGGUCUGUAGCUGACGCUGAGGAGCGAAAGCGUGGGGAGCGAACAGGAUUAGAUACCCCCGUAGUCCCUGUCUCUUAUAC
rnacentral:rRNA from 1 species